GCUGUACAGAAGGCAUGGCUGGGAAGGCCUCAGGAAACUUACAAGCAAGGUAAAGGGGAAGCAGGCACAAGCUUCAGAUGGCAAAGCAGGAGAGACAGAGAGGUUUCUGCUCCUGGGGAAGACUCAGGAGGAAGGUGAAGGGGAAGUAAGCAUGUCUUCACAUGGCCAGCAGAAGAGAGAUUGAAAGAGAAGGUUUCAUGGUAUGCAGAUUUGAAUAAGAAACAAAGUGGAAGAAAAAAGUGAAGGAAAGAGAAGAGGAGAAGAAAUCUGGAAGGAAUGAGAAACAAAAUAGGAAGGAAGAAAAGGAACAUCUUCAUUGAGGUCCAGUCCCUUUAUGGAAUCUCAUUAACUAACCACAUGGGCUGUUCUGCUUUAUCCAACAACAUCAGCAAUGGAGGCAGUUUCCUGCUACAGAGAGAAGCAUCAGGCUCUGGAGGAAAAGAGUCUAGAGUGAUACACAGUAAACUCUCUAUGAGGUCCUGUGGCUGCCCCCUGGGAAAGCAUGUGGAGGAGGCUCUUACUCAGGCCUGGCGGUCAUGGAAUGAAGGACAUCUGAUCUCUACCCUCCCUGCUGGGUAUCCCAUGUUGGAGCCAAGACCUGAGGAGAAGGCCCAUGUGGCUAUUGCUAGAACUCCUCUGGACCCAGCACUUCAGAAGCAGGACUGUGCUUCCAAACAAUGA
rnacentral:lncRNA from 13 species